rnacentral:rRNA from 1 species
UACAGAGGGUGCAAGCGUUAAUCGGAAUUACUGGGCGUAAAGCGUGCGUAGACGGUUAUGUAAGUCAGGUGUGAAAGCCCCGGGCUCAACCUGGGAAUGCCAUUUGAGACUGCAUAGCUAGGGUACGGAAGAGGGAAGCGGAAUUUCGAGGUGUAGCGGUGAAAUGCGUAGAGUAUCUGAAGGAACACCAGUGCGAAAGCGGCUCCUGGUCCAGGUACCGACGUUCAGGCACGAAGCUGGGAGC